UCACUGAACACUCAGACCCUCAACAUGGGAUGGAGCUGGGUCAUCUUCCUUUUGGUAAUAUCUACAGAUGUCCACUGCCAAGUCCAGCUGCAGCAGUCUGGGCCUGAGCUGGCAAGACCUGGGUCCUCAGUGAAGUUGUCCUGCAAGGCUUCUGGCUACAGCUUCACCAGCUCCUAUAUGAGCUGGGUGAAGCAGAAGCCAGGACAGGGGAUGGAGUGGAUUGGACGGUUUUAUCCUGGAGGUGGUGUUCCUAGCUACCAUGAGAAGUUCCAGGGCAAGGCCACACUGACUGGAGACAAAUCCUCCAGCACAGCCUACAUGGAGUUUGGCAGCCUGACAUCUGAGGACUCUGCAGUCUAUUACUGUGCCAGAGAUGCACAGUGUUGCAACCACAUUCUGAGUGUGUCAGAAACCCUGGAGGAAUAA